AAAAAAGUAAUCUAUAAUGGGAGUUGUCUAUUACUAAACACCGAAAACAGGUUGGACUAUUUUAUAUUACUAUUGUAGUCACUGACAUCGCUCUGACUGCAAAUAUGGGUGCUAUUGUUGAGAUCUAUUGUUCAAGGAUUGUCUCCCACCACAAUUUCACACACCGUGCAAUGGAAGCUCAGUCUGUUUACGUACAGUUGAAGAAUCUUGUAGAUGGAAAUAAUCGAGUGGAAAUGUAUUUUGUUUACUGUUAGUUAAAAUGUUAGUGUGUUUACGUACAGUUGAAGAAUCUUGUAGAUGGAAAUAAUCGCGUGGAAAUGCAUUUUGUUUAUACUGUUAGUUAAAAUGUUAUUUGUUU